rnacentral:rRNA from 1 species
UACGUAGGGCGCGAGCGUUGUCCGGAUUUAUUGGGCGUAAAGAGCUCGUAGGCGGCUUGUCGCGUCGACUGUGAAAAACCACGACUCAACCGUGGGACUGCAGUCGAUACGGGCAGGCUAGAGUUCGGUAGGGGAGACUGGAAUUCCUGGUGUAGCGGUGAAAUGCGCAGAUAUCAGGAGGAACACCGGUGGCGAAGGCGGGUCUCUGGGCCGAUACUGACGCUGAGGAGCGAAAGCGUGGGGAGCGAACAGG